rnacentral:rRNA from 1 species
AGCUCCAAUAGCGUAUAUUAAAGUUGUUGCAGUUAAAAAGCUCGUAGUUGGAUUUCUGGUUUGAUGCCCUGGCCCGCUGCUAUUUUGGUAGUGUGUGCCGGUUGUGCGUCUGCCAUCCUUCUAGGGAACGUUCCUUCUCUUCACUGAGCCGGGUUCGUGAUCUAGAUCGUUUACUUUGAAAAAAUUAGAGUGUUUAAAGCAGGCUUUUGCUAUGAAUACAUUAGCAUGGAAUAAUAAUCUAGGACUUCGGUGCUAUUUUGUUGGUUUCUAGAACUGAAGUAAUGAUUGAUAGGGAUAGUUGGGGGUGCUAGUAUUGAGCGGCCAGAGGUGAAAUUCUUGGAUUCGCUCAAGACUAACUUAUGCGAAAGCAUUCACCAAGGAUGUCUUCUUUA